rnacentral:rRNA from 1 species
CUACCCUUGACAUGCCACUAACGAAGCAGAGAUGCAUCAGGUGCCCGAAAGGGAAAGUGGACACAGGUGCUGCAUGGCUGUCGUCAGCUCGUGUCGUGAGAUGUUGGGUUAAGUCCCGCAACGAGCGCAACCCUUGUCUUUAGUUGCUACGCAAGAGCACUCUAGAGAGACUGCCGGUGACAAACCGGAGGAAGGUGGGGAUGACGUCAAGUCCUCAUGGCCCUUAUGGGUAGGGCUUCACACGUCAUACAAUGGUGCGUACAGAGGGUUGCCAACCCGCGAGGGGGAGCUAAUCCCAGAAAACGCAUCGUAGUCCGGAUCGUAGUCUGCAACUCGACUACGUGAAGCUGGAAUCGCUAGUAAUCGCGGAUCAGCAUGCCGCGGUGAAUACGUUCC